rnacentral:rRNA from 1 species
AUGAACGCUGGCGGCGUGCCUAAUACAUGCAAGUCGAGCGAACAGACGAGGAGCUUGCUCCUUCGACGUUAGCGGCGGACGGGUGAGUAACACGUAGGUAACCUACCUAUAAGACUGGGAUAACUUCGGGAAACCGGAGCUAAUACCGGAUAAUAUUUCGAACCGCAUGGUUCGAUAGUGAAAGAUGGCAUUGCUAUCACUUAUAGAUGGACCUGCGCCGUAUUAGCUAGUUGGUAAGGUAACGGCUUACCAAGGCAACGAUACGUAGCCGACCUGAGAGGGUGAUCGGCCACACUGGAACUGAGACACGGUCCAGACUCCUACGGGAGGCAGCAGUAGGGAAUCUUCCGCAAUGGGCGAAAGCCUGACGGAGCAACGCCGCGUGAGUGAUGAAGGUCUUCGGAUCGUAAACCUCUGUUAUUAGGGAAGAACAAACGUGUAAGUAACUGUGCACGUCUUGACGGUACCUAAUCAGAAAGCCACGGCUAACUACGUG